rnacentral:rRNA from 1 species
UACAGAGGUCUCAAGCGUUGUUCGGAUUUAUUGGGAGUAAAGGGUGCGUAGGCGGCGGGGUAAGUUGGGUGUGAAAUCUCGGAGCUUAACUCCGAAACUGCAUUCGAUACUGCCGUGCUUGAGGACUGGAGAGGAGACUGGAAUUUACGGUGUAGCGGUGAAAUGCGUAGAUAUCGUAAGGAAGACCAGUGGCGAAGGCGGGUCUCUGGACAGUUCCUGACGCUGAGGCACGAAGGUCAGGGGAGCAAACGGG